AUGAUACGCGAGGAACCUUACCUGGGCUCAAAUGUAUGUUGACGUAUUCUGAAAGGGAUACUUCUUCGGACAAUAUACAAGGUGCUGCAUGGUUGUCGUCAGCUCGUGCCGUGAGGUGUCGGGUUAAGUCCCAUAACGAGCGCAACCCCUAUCAUUAGUUGCCAUCAGGUCAAGCUGGGGACUCUAAUGAAACUGCCUACGCAAGUAGUGAGGAAGGUGGGGAUGACGUCAAAUCAGCACGGCCCUUACGUCCAGGGCUACACACGUGCUACAAUGGCCGGUACAGAGUGAAGCGAAACCGCGAGGUGAAGCAAAACGCAGAAAGCCGGUCUCAGUACGGAUUGGAGUCUGAAACUCGACUUCAUGAAGUUGGAAUCGCUAGUAAUCGCGCAUCAGCAUGGCGCGGUGAAUACGUUCCCGGGCCUU
rnacentral:rRNA from 1 species